rnacentral:rRNA from 1 species
UACGUAGGGUGCGAGCGUUAAUCGGAAUUACUGGGCGUAAAGCGUGCGCAGGCGGUUCGUUGUGUCUGAUGUGAAAGCCCUGGGCUCAACCUGGGAAUUGCGAUGGAUACUGGCGAGCUAGAGUACGGUAGAGGAUGGUGGAAUUCCCGGUGUAGCGGUGAAAUGCGUAGAGAUCGGGAGGAACACCGGUGGCGAAGGCGGCGUUCUGGACUGCAACUGACACUGAGGAACGAAAGCCAGGGGAGCAAACGGG